GGAGAUGACUACAGAUCUCAAAAGAAAACAUAUCCACGGGAGAGACUCAGCUAAAUUAGAAUUUAAUGCAGACCAUCUGGUUUUCCAACACACCGAAGAAAAAUAAAGGCAACUUUCUUUUUAGAGGAGCCCUUCACUCAGAAUAUUAAGAAGCUUCACAUCAUUGGUAAAAGCCCAGCAUCUUUCUUGAAACGAGUGAGAAAGGAGGAUGCCCAGGAGGAAGACAACCUGCCACACCCCAGCUUGUCUACUAGGCAGCACUGGUGGUGAAUGUUCCACUUCACAUACGGUCAGACCUCAGUUAUCAAAACCCCAUUAUGGGAAACUUUAGGUUUCCAGAGGUCAGAAAUAUCUUCUGUAUUUUGAAACCUGCACCAGCCAGCUUCCCAGGGGUUGCCCGCAGAGGAGAGAGACGCCAUUCCACAGCAAACAUGGAGCCCAUUCAGAUCACAGCGGCAGUUAUGAGCACUUUAAACACCACACGCAUUAUCCUGCAGCGUGUGCAGCACCAGAACCUGCAAAAGCAGGCGAGGAGGCGACGGCAGUGCGGUGACGAGAGUG